UUGAGAUGGAGAAGCAACAGCAGG
rnacentral:piRNA from 1 species